rnacentral:lncRNA from 9 species
CGGCUGGGCUCCAGCCUGAGAAAAACUACGUUCCGUGUUGGAGCUCGGCUAAUUUGAAGGCUUUUAGUCUGCAUAAUUCUUUAUUGUUCAUUAUUUUCUUAAGCUAACGCAAGUAAUUGUCGACCACAAUAACGAUGGCGGCGGCGGCGGCUUUACCAUGGUAACCGGAAAGUCGAUAAACGCUGCGUCCCUUUCCUUUUAGUUCCGCCCUGUUAGGGGAGGGGAAAUGCUUGGCCCCGCCCCAGCGGGGUGCAUUUUUAUCCUUUCUCAAAAGCUCUGUACCCACUGAGGGAGAUGAGGAAACAGAGUUACGGCACCCUAGAGAAUGAGGGGCACCCAAUGCCAAAGCGCCAACAUACUGAGAAGAUGGGGAGGUAAACACAGAACAGACCCCGUCUGCUCUCUUAGCCUGUGGACUUCACGUGCUUGAUGGUGAGGGGGCGAGGCCGUGGAGGAUGUUGGCUGGCAGGGCAUCAGAAAACAUUAGAACAGGAAAUGUAAUUGGCUAGUAGUACGCAAUUAGCAACUAAGUCAUGAUUUGAGCUCAGCUUGCUUUCGCUCCAGAGGCUGAAUGCUUAAGUGCCCACCAGUAUAACUCAGAGAAUUUAACGACGUAACUCUUUUCUUUCUUUGCCAUUUUUGGUUAGAGCUUAAGAUUUGGUAAUAGUGGAUUGAUGGCCCAGAAUAAUGAACCGCUGAAGAAUAGGUUGAGGCACUUAGCCAGGGCAUGUUCUGCCGUCAGCCAUUUGUGGAGAAUGGACUGUUGAUUCUUUCACUUCAUUUAACCACCCCUACUGUUUAUAAAAGAAGAGGAAACCCGCAAUGAGCAGUGGCUGCAAGAGAUAAAGAAACUCGGGGCCCUUGGAGAACAUCUGAAUGCUAACACAGAUCUUGCUUGGUAUCUGGAUGUAGGUACCAAUUGGCUUGCCUCCCAGAAAGAAACAUCAUUUCUAGGUUUUGUACUACUGCAUUAUCACACUUGUUUUGCACCAAUAUUUAUACUUUAUGAGAAUAUUUGAGGUUUCAGCUCUAAGGCUAGUCUAUAGAGAAUUGUCUAAUCCAUCAGCACUGGUUAUUCUGGUCUUUCAA